rnacentral:lncRNA from 1 species
CUGUCCAUCAGACCAGUUACUAUGAUCAAACCACAGUUUAACCCAGCCUGAGAAAUACUAGUCUUAUAAGGGGAAAAAGAGAGACUGUAUGUAUUCUAACAGAAGGAAAGAACUAGGAAGAGGUUUGGUGGAACUGGUCUCUAAGAUUAGACAAUUUGUGGCCAGAAUGUAAGAGAGCUAGAGGUUUCUAGGAGGAGCUCCAGGAGAAGGGCAAGUCAGGAAAGAGUAAGGGUGGGCUCUCCAGAAAUGGGGCAUGGAGGACUUUGAUAAACAGUACUAGUAGCCUUGUUCUGUUACGAAGCAGGAGUUGCUAUGGUUUGAAUGUAUUUAUAUUCUCCAUAAUUCACAUGCUGGAAACUUAAUUCUCAAUGCAUCAAUAUUGCAAGGUAGGACAUAGUAGGAGGUGCUUAGAUCAUGAGAGUCCUGCCCACACAAGUGGAUUAAUGUCACUAUACAAAGGACUUGUGGAUGUGGCUUCAUUCUUAUCAGUGCUUAUGCCAUAUGAGGAAUGGUUUUUACCACCCCUCUCCCACCCCUGAGAAUAAGUAUUCAAGUCACCAUCCUGGCAGUGGAGACAAGGCCCUUAACAGACAACAAAAAUAUGCCAGCAUGUUGAUUUUGGACUUUGCAACCUCUAUAACAGUGAGAAAUAAACUUCUGUUUUUUAUAAAUUACCCAGUCAAGUCUCAGACAUUCUGUCAUAAUAGCACAAAUAGAAUAUAACAGGAAUCAUGAAAUAUUU